ensembl:misc_RNA Y_RNA Y RNA
GGCUGUUCGAAGGUAGUGAAUUAUCUCACUUGAUUGUUCAGUCAGUUACAGAUUGAACUCCUUGUUCUACUACUGUCCCCUCUUCUCACUACUGCAGUUGACUAGUCUUAA